ACACAGCAACAACAGUAACGAUAACAUGUUCGUGUUUUAUGCUGGAUGGCUGAAUGCCAAAGCGGGACUUUUGGCUGACUUGUCGGGACGGCGGGACAAGACGCUUAAAAGCGGGACUGUUACCGCCUAAAGCGGGCGUAUGGUUUCUUGGGACACUGAAGACAAUACCUGACAGAUGUUGGGUGGGGUGGAUCAUCAUUUUGUUCUUCCGUUGAAUUUAAAAGUAGGAAUUGAACAAUCUCAACCAAAUGGAAUUUAUCGCUGAGUGAGAAUCAAGAUAUGUAUAUUGUGGAGAAGAAGAGACAAACCUAUUUUGAAAAGUGAAUAUGAUCAACUUUACUUCAACAGUAAAGCCGAAAAAGAUUGCGUAAAACUUGAUGAAAUUCGCUUCAAGAUAUUCCGUGGAACAUCCUAUUUGGUGUGGAGAAAGCUCCGUGUACCUUUGAAGAUUGUAAAGUCGGGCACGACUAUGCUCAAGAUGAAGAAAAAUUCAUGAUAUCGAAACCAAUCGUGAUCCGUCAAAACAGGGAGAGAAGAAAAUUUUUUGUGAAAAAUUUAUAUUACGAAAAGAAAUAUAUCGACCCGUAACACUGAAAUUAGAGAGAUUUCAGAAGUGCUUCCAUGGAAGAAAUGUACGACAUUCUGAAAAAAGAAUUUGGAAUUAUUUUGAAUUUUAAACUCAGUAUACCAUUUAUUGAAUGAGUUGUACUUUGGGGAGUACUUUGUGUUAUUGAUUUGUUUUAAAUAUUAAAUUACAUUUACAUAACAAUUUCUUGCAGUUCAUUAUUAUUUGAAUUCACAGAAACAUAUUUAAGACUGAAACUCAAAGACUAACUGAGCCCUUGGCCAAACAGCUGUUGAUGCAAUAAUAGCUACCAUGAUCAAACAUGCCAAGAACCACUACGAUAUUAAUUUUUUGUAGAAUAAACCAGCACAUCCUCCUGGCUGCUGAAGAUAUAAACAUUUUAACUUAAAUCAAGAUGUUUAAAAAAAUCCAUUUUUGUGCUGUUGUGCAACAACUCGCCUCUGUAACAUUUCACCACGUUCUCCUUCCCAUAAAUACAUAAGGACUAAAUAAGACUGUGUUUUUACAAAAAAAUAAAAAUAAUAAAAUGCGAUAUUUGAUGUAAGUCAAUUAUCAAUCACUUUUAACUGGUUUAUUAAAAUUACUGAUGGAUGUUCGAGGGUCACAUUGGAGCUCUUCAAGUGGCGCAAGUUAUUGCUCAUUAGUAGGCCAAUUGCAUAUUAUUGGAAGUAUCACAGCUCAAAAUUUGGCAGCAUCUCCAGGCCACAAUUUUAAAAUCGCCGAUGACAAAUAAGCGCAUGUUUUUUAUUUUUUAAGGUCAUUUUUGGUAAAAUAAAUGUUAUUUCAUAAAUGAAUAUUUUGUAUUAGUAAUUUAAGUUUUCGACCAUAAAAGCAUUACAAUGCGUUUAGUAUUUGAAACUAUACUC